rnacentral:lncRNA from 1 species
GCCAGGAUGGUCUUGAUCUCCUGACCUUGUGAUCCGCCCGCCUCGGCCUCCCAAAGUGCUGGGAUUACAGGCGUGAGCCACCGCACCUGGCCACAUAUCAUUAACUUUUUAAUAAACUGUCAAACUGCUAUUAAAAGUGGCUGUUCCAUUUUCUGCCCCCACCAGCAGUGUCAGUUUCUCCACAUCCUCAGUUAUUUGAUAUCUUGGUCUGCUCAUGCUGCUCUAGCAAAAUACCACAGAAAGGCGGUGGGGGUUAAACCACAAAAGUUAAUUUUCCCACCGUUCUAGAGGCUGGAAGUCCCUGACCAAAGUGCUGCUAGAUUUGAUUCCCCGUGAGGGCUCUCUCCUGGCUUGUUGACAGCCACCUCCUUGCUGUAUCCUCACAGGGCCUUCACAAGUGCACACAUGCAGAGAAAAAAGAGCAAACUCUCUGGUGUCUCUUCUCAUAAGGACACUAAUCCUAUUGGAUCAGGGCCCCACCUCUAGGACCUCAUUUUACCUUAAUUGCUUCCUUAGAGGCCCAUCUCCAAUACAGCCCCACUGGGGGCUAAGGCUUCAGUAUACGAAUUUUGGAGGGACACAGACAUUCAACCAUGACACUCCACAUCCUCAUCAACACUUGAUACUGUCAGUCUUUUUCAUUUUAGCCAUUUUAAUGUGUGGACAGUGGCAUUUUAUGGUGGUUUUAAUUUCCGUGGUAACUAAUGAUGUCGAUCAUCUUUUUUUUGUGUUUUGAUCUGAAUUUCUAUGUCUUCUUUGAGGGAUUUUCUAUUCAAAACUUUUGCCCAUUUUUUAAUGGUGUUAUUAGUUUUCUUAUUAUUGAAUUUUGGGAGUUCUUUAAGGCAUGCUGGAGUCUUAUCAGAUUCAUCAUUUGCAAAUAUUUUCUCCUGCUUUGUUGCCAAUCUCUUCAUUCUCUUAAACAUGUCUUUUGCAGAGCAGAAGUUUUACAUUUUGAUGAAUUCUAGUUUAUUCAUUUAUUUUGGCGUUGAAUUUAAGAAAUUUCUGCCUAACCUACAAAGAUUUUCUCAUAUGUUUUCUUCUGGAAGUUUUAUAGUUUUAGGUUUUACAUUUAGAUCUAUAAUCCAUUUUGAGUUCAUUUUUUAUAUGGCCCUGGGGUAUAGAUCAAUGUUCCCUCUUCCAUGUGGCUAUUCCGUUGUUUUAGCACUGCUUGUUGAAAAGACCCUCUUUUCUUCACUGAGAGUCUUUUGUCAAAAACCAAUUGUCCAUGUGUGUAUGGCUCUAUUUCUGAGCAUUUUAUAAACACACUGUCUUGGUUACUACAGCUUUAUAAAGUCUAAAAAUCAGCUAGUGUAAAUCCUCCAACUUUGCUCUUAUCUUCCAACGAUGUUCUGGUUGUUAUAGGGCCUUUGCCUUUCUAUGUGAAUUUUAGAAUGAGUUUGUCAAAUCCUCUUCGAAAAAAAAGCCUUUUGAGACUUCAGUUGGGAUUUUGCUGAAUGUGCAGAUCAAUUUGGGGAUAACUUCUGUCUUACGCACAUGGAGUCUCAGCCCAUGAAGAUGGUGUAAGUUUUCAUUUCUUAUGUCCUCUUUCGUUUACUCAGCAAUGUUUUCUCAUUUUAUGUGUACAAGACUUUCACACCUUCUAUCAGAUUUAUCCCUAGUUCAUAAUUUUGAUGUUACGACAAGUGUGUUGUUCUUUCCAUUUUAAUUUCUGGCUGUCCGUUGCUGGGGUAUGGAAAUGCAGUGACUCUUGGCAUUGAUCUUGACCUUGCAACCUUGUGAUGCUCACUCUUCAGCUCCAGCAGCUUUUUGUUUCGUGAAUUCCAUUAGAUUUUUUUGCAUAGAUGAACUUGUCUUCUGCAAAUAAAGACAGUAUUAUUCUUUUCUUCCCAAUAACGAUGCCUUUCAUUUUCUUUUUUCCUUCCUAAUUGCCCUGACUAGAACCUCCUGUGCAAUGCUGAAUGGGACCAUUGAGAGUGCUGUCCCUGACUUGUUCCUGGCCUCAGGGGAAGCACUCAGUCUUUCACAAGUAGGUGUGAUGUCAGCUGUCGGGUGUUCAGAGAUGCCUUUUAUCAGGUUGAAGAAGUUGCUUCUACUCCUGUUUGCCAAGAGUGUUUUGAGAAUGCAUGUUGGAAUUUGUCAAAUGCUUUUUCUGUGUCUAUUGAGACAAUCACAUUGUUCUUCUUUCAGUUUGUUAAUAUGGUGACUUAAAUUGAUUUUUACGUGUUCAAUCCUUAAGACAAUCCUGAUAUAUUGGGGAAAAUUCUCCUUGGUUAUGAUGUAUCAUCUUUUUAAUAUGUUGUUGGGUUCAAUUUAGUAAGCUUUUGUUUAGGACUUCUAAAGGGGGAUGCUUGUUCCUAUAUUCUUCUCCUGUAAUGUCUUUGGUUUUCAUAUCAAGAUCAUGCUGGCCUCCUGGAAGGACUUGAGAAAAAUCCCUGCUUUUCAACUUUCUGGAAGAGCUUAUGUAGAAUUGCUAUUAGCUCUUUCUUAAAUGUUGGCUGGAGCUCCCCUGUGAAGCCGUCUAAGCCCGGGGUUAUUUUGUAUGUGAGAGGGGAAGAUUUUUAACUACAGAUUCAAUUUGCUCAUCAGCCUUCUGCUGCCUCUCAGGGGCCCUCUGUGCCUUUCCAGGGUUCUCGCUAGGUGCAGCUCCCCUCUCUCACCCUCUGCCCUGCAAGCUGUGGCUGCCUUGGUCUCCCCGACUCUCAGCGUCCUCAACUCAGGAGAUCCCUGGCUCCACCUGCGUCACCUCCCAGCACUGUGACCUGGAAACUCUCUCCGGGAGGUCGGCCGGGCCCUCAGAGGGCUCAUCGCGUCCGUGUCCCAUUUCUCGGGUCACGGCUCCUUUUUGUCUGAUGCCCAUUGCCUUGAGGACCCUGGUUUCAAUAGUCUUGUCUCUUAUUUAGUUGUUUUGGGCAGAUAAGUACAUUCAGCCCCUGUCACUCCAUCUUGUCUAGAAGUGGAAGUCUACUGUCUUUUAUUUCUUUCACUAGAAUAGUAAUUUAAUACAUGUUUAUUGUAGGAAAUCUAGAAAUACAAAGAUACAUGAAGAAAAUGGUAGGAAUCACUUAUAGUCUCACCGACAGCUAACACGUUUAGUGUUCUCAACAGCACAAUAUUCUCCAUCUCUGCUGAGACCCAUCCCAGCAGAGGGGUGCCCGCACGGCGAGGCCGGCACAGGCCCGCGUGGGACCCACUGCCAACGCCGAAGCCAGGGUGUGACCUCUAGCUGCAGGGCCAAGGCACUGAGGGGCAGCCCCACUCACCCCUCCUUCCAACCUCUCCAGCAACAAUCGGUGAGCCCCGACCCUGCCUGGAACCCUGGGGCCAGGUCGUCUGUCUGGACAGCGGCCUACAGGGAACGCACCAGAAGGUGUGGUGGGGUGGUGCCUCCCACCAAAUCCACCAAAAUUUGAGGAGCAGCCGCAUCAAGCCCCUUUCAUUGCACGUCUGAAUCCCCACGCGUGGCGUUUCCUUAGAGGCAAUUUCUGAAAAAGGGAUUUCUGCUCAAAGUGUGUGAGCCUGUCAGGCUCUGCCCAGUAUGCCAAGUCUGCAGGACCGCGUCACAUUUGACCAGAUAAUUAUUUGGGAACAGCACCCGCAUGGAGCAGCCCCACAGAAGCUUCGAGCCCACACCUGGGUUCUGGCCCAUUGUGUUCACGCCCCCCACACCCCGCCCGACCCCAGCUGCCGCAGGAGGGCCGGCUGAUAGAGGUGGUGCAGACAUUGGUCCUCACAGCCGGGCAGCCUUGAGGGGACCACACACCGCCCCGCCCAGGGCCUCCAGCACCUCGGCUCACUGCCCCGGUUCCAGCAGGAAUGGGGGCCACACAACCCGAGAAACACAGACCACGCCACUGCCGAGCUGCACGAGCUUCAGCUGCAACAAAUCGCCACAGAGCAGGCAGCUGCAACAUCAGAAAUGGACGUUCUCACAGCUCCAGGUCCAAAGUGGUUUCACUGGGCACAAUAAAGGUGUAAGGUGUCUGCAGGACUCCUCGAGGCUCCUGCCGCCUCAGCCCCCGCGCUGCCCCCUUGGCCUCCCUCUCGUGGCCAGCAGAGCAGCACAGCGCUGGUGACACGUGGUCUGGUGGGGCAGACCUCCCCUGCUAAGAACACCAGAGGCGCCUCAGUCCCACCCGGAUGAUCCGAGAUAAUCCCCCGUCUCAGGGCCUCUCACUGAGUCCCCCCUGCAAACAUUCCUGCCAGGUGAGGUCACUUUCCAGGGAUUGGGGCCCGGACAUUCCAGGGCCAUCACUCAGCCCACCACACAGUGAAAGCACAGGAUGCAGUGUCACAAUCAGACCAAAGAACUGUUCCUUAGCUCCUCUUAGGGGCAGAAUAGAGAGCACAGGGCUGAGGAGUGGCCCCCUCAUGGUCCCCCUAUCUCACCUGCCUCAGGUCACCUCCAGACCCUUUAACACCCAAUGGUGACAUUUCAGAGGCAAGGAACAGAUGGACAGAAAUCAGGGAUUUGUGCCUGCAGGGAGUGGUGGGCGGGGUUCAGGGCUGAGCGAAGGAAGCUCCGGCAGACAGGUCCUGGCAGGAGGCUGCAGAGAGGAGGCGGCACCUGAGCCCGAAGGGAGCAGCUGGGGAAGAGGUGUCUGGAUGGGACAUGCCUGCCACUGACCCAAGUCUGUUCCUGUGGGUUACCCAUUUCCCACGUAGACUUCUUAAGGAUGGCAGCCUGGGCAAUGCCCUUGUCUCUGUCCCCAACGCACACCUGGAACUGAGGGGGGAACGCAUCUGUAGUGAAAGGAAGAGAAAGAGUAAAGCUGCAGCAACUCUUGGAGGGCUGAACCUGGGAGCCCAGGGAGGUGAAAGCAGAUGGAGGCCCCAGUCCUGGGGAGGUGAAGGCAGGGGCAGAGGGGCCUUGAUGGUGGUGGGGCGUGGUGGGGGCGUUGCAGAAACAGCAGCCAGGCUGGUGACUCUGGGGACUCCCCCUGCAGGGAGAGGGAGGCCCCGGCUAAAGGCCAAGGCUGCCCCGCACCCAGCGAGCUGUGCAAACAGCCAGCAGAAGGCCCACCGGCCCUCUGGGGACAGAGCUGAACUCACCCUGGGCUCUGCAGUACCACCAGGGGCAGCCUGCUGCUACAGGGCGGGCUCACACCUGGGGGAGCUGUGGGCAAGCAGGCCCUACCUUGGGGGCUGGCACUGCUGUGGGUCCCCUGGCUUUCACAGACCGACCACUCAUGCCACCGGCACCAAGCGGACCUGGGACCUGCACGCCCUCGGCUCAUCUGAGGGUGAUACUGAUGGGCUGUGCAAGGUCCCCAGACGCUGAUGGGACCUCGAUCCCAGCCAGUGUCAGGGCUCUUGACACCACCGCGAGAAGGAAUUCAAGGACAAGUCCGAAAAUAGUCAAAGUACAGAGAUUUAUUGCAAAGUGAAAAGUCUACACUCAAGAGGGGAGUUCGCGUGGACUCACAAGACAGUCGCGCAGUGAGGUUUGGGGCUGCUGCCUUUAUGGGUUUUUUUUUAAACCAAGGGGCAGAGUCCAAGAAGAUUCCUGGAAAAAGGUGGAGAUUUCUCAGAACUGUGGUCCCACCAGUUUUUACUCCAAACAUGGGUGUUCCCAGAACUGUCCUGGCACCCAUGGGUGUGGGAUUUAGGAUUUUUUUUUUUUUUUUUUUGAGACAGAGUCUCACUCUGUUACCCAGGCUGGAAUGCAGUGGUGCGAUCUCAGCUCACAGCAACCUCUGUCUCACGGGUUCAAGCAAUUCUCCUGCCUCAGCCUCCCGAGUAGCUGGGAUUACAGGCAUAUGCCACCACACCCAGCUAAUUUUUGUAUUUUUGUAGAGACAGCGUUUCACCACGUUGGCCAGGCUGGUCUUGAACUCGUGACGUCAGGUGAUCUGCCUGCCUCGGCCUCCCAAAGUGCUGGGAUUACAGGCGUGAGCCACCACACCUGGCCUGGGAUUUAGGAUGUUAAUGAGCGUAUCAUGAGGUCCUAGGUGAAACCCGGGUCAAAUCCAGCACCGGGGUGGGUCCAGUUGGUCUUAGCCAGCUGGGCCCGCACUCUGGUUUUCAGGGUCUUACAGCCUGAAAUCUAUUUCAACAGUUCCCUUUGGCUGGUCCUGGAAAACUGCUGCCUGGAAUUUUCUAUCCUCUUGCAACCACCCUGUAUGAUUCCUGUCUCAGGGGAUCUGAACUCCUGUUCCCAGGGGGAAGACAGCAGGAAGCCAAUACACACACACACUGUGGGCAGAGAGAAACCAAGUGGCAGAGGGGAGAGAGACAAGAGGGGCCGCCCCCGCCGAGCAGGGCCUGGUUGGGGGAGGAGCCACUCGGGGCCCUGGGCGGAGACAGAAGGGGCAGCAGGUGCGAAGCUGGCAGGUUCAGCCCGGGCCAGGGGAGCCGAGAGAGGUGCGGCGAGGGGCAGGGAGGCAGGAAACAGUGUGCCAGGCCCCUGGGCCUUGAGAGGGGUUAGGGUUGAACUCUGAGUGCAACAAGAGGCCCAGGAAGUUUCCAGCACGGAGGCAGACAGGACCUAGUGUGACAGCGAGGCUCCCAUAGUGCCGUGCGCCAGCUAGCAUUAUAAGGACUUUGCAUUUAUUAACUAUUCUUAUUUCAAUGUACGGAAAAGGCUGAGGCCAGACGCACAGGCAGCUGCGCCAGGCUGGGACUCCCCACUGGCAGCCACCAUGGGGCUCUGGAAGCCCCUCCUGUGCUGAAUGGAGAGCCCCAGGAUCUUUGCUCAUCUCAAUCUUUGUCAAUUCUUCCGACACCCCUCACAAAUGUGAGUGGUUGGUCUAAGCUGGUCACAGUGGGAGAACCCCUGGCUUUGGGGAUUGGCUCACGGUGGUCCAAUCAGCACAAAGCCCUGUUGCGGUCACAGCCACCCCAAGAUGGGAGGGGCAGCGUGGGCAGAGGGUGGAAAUGGCCCCCCAUCUCAACCAUCCCACAGCCCUGGAUCAGCCAUGCCUGAAGCCCCUGCUGCCCUGAGCUGCCCAGCUCUGGGAGCAGUGAAGGUUCUGGGAGCCAGUGAAGGUUUUGAGGGGUGGGCAGUGUGAGAAGAGGCUCCUGUUCGUUGCACCUGGAGCAUCCUGAAGGUAGCAGGAAGGUUGUAGAACCGGGAUGGGGCCACAAGACAGGAGGAAAGGAAAAGCAGGGGAGGGGAGGGGCAGGGCAGGGGAAAGGGGGCCGUGGAGGUGCUCGGGGGGCAUCAGGAGCAGAAUCCACACCUUGUCACCCCCACAGCCCCCACCUCUGCAGAUCUCCAAGGCUUGAGGAGCCCCUCACACUCACUGAAUGAGCCCUGAGGACCCCUGACGGGGCCUCCAGACUCAGAGUCCUGUUUGUGGGGCCACGGCCCAGCCUGCCCUUGCUAAGUAACUCUGAACUCGAUUUAGACACUGGGGAAGGAUUCUGAAUUCAGUCCAGCGUGAAUGCAGCCGUGAGGCCAGGGUGAGGCGGCCCUCACGGUGGUGAUUGCCUAGAAGUUUCUUAUGAAGCAGCACACACAUAGUGUGACCGUCUAUAUGGGACUCAAAACAGGCAGAGACACCCGUGGAGACAGAGGUUAGAGCCACAGCCACGUGGCCAGGGUGGUGUGGACCUGUUUCUGGAUCUGCCGCUUUAAAGUGUGUGUUUGGUUCGUGAACACUUGCUGGGGGUCCACUUACGCUUUGUGAAACUGGGCUGGGAACCUCACCUUGUAGAAGCUGCUGGAAGCAGAACACAGCAUCCCUAUGAGGGGGUGUGCAACUUUUAGGGGGCUGUGUCCCACAGCACAAUGGGUAACUCAUUUGUUUGAAAGCUGUAAGGCAAAACACAUUUUUUUCUUUGCCUUUUUGUUGGUAGUCUGCAUAAACUCAGCUGUUUUCUAGAAGUCAGCAAAUAGCCAUCCGUUUCCCUCCAUGAUGCCAAGGGGCCAGAUGUUCGGGGAAUUGCCCAGCAGACGUGGCUGCACCCCUCUGAGAGCCAGCCCAACCCAGCUCCGGCCUUGGUGGCUCCUGGUGGAAAAGCCUCUGCCCCCAAGCGUCCCCUUGGUCCAGGAGAAAGGCGGAGGCAGCCCGGCUGCUCAUGCCAGCACAGCCUCCAUCAAAUUAAACAUUCUAUCCAUUUACUUGAUGGAUGUUUGACCAGAGGAAUCCAAAAUUUAAAUGUAAGCAGUGAGCCUGCUUUAAAGUGAAUGGCUCAUUAGGAAACAAAGCAUCCCAUGAGAUCAAUACUUGGCUUCUGAGCUCUGCUUUUCUGAAGGGAUCGCUAAACGCCAGCAGGCAGGAGCAGCCAGGAGCUCCAAUACCUUGGAGGGGGCGUUGAGCAGGCAUCUGCACCAGCUAGGUUUUGGGGUGACUGCACCCCUUGAGUUGUGCGGCUGGGUGUCUUCUGGUGACGGACAAGCAUGCUUCUCACUGUGGGAGCUGUCACCAUCGCACACACCAGGCCCUGUUGAGACGUCAGGGCAGUAACAGGGAAGCUUCCUCAGGCUCAGAAGGAACAGAUGGGCCCUGUCGGGGAGUCGGGGAGUCAGGGAGCCGAGGCCAGCCAUGGAAGUCCUCAGCCAGGGAGGGUCCACAUCUGGGGGAAUCAUGCCCAGGUGUGAGGCCCUGGGCUGGACAACAGCAGAGACAGGAUGACCCAGGGGUGGUCUGCUGGUCCUGGCCCUCGUCCCCUGCUGGGAGGAUGUCCAGUUAGGCCUGGAGCAGUGCCAGACCGUCCACCGCAGCCAGUGGGGGCUGCUGACGAGGAUGCCUCCGAUGUGUUUAUCCACAGUGUCACUUCCUUUUUAUUAUAAAGGGAAUGUGUUUCCUUUUGGGAACUUGAGAAAAUACAGAUUGGCAAAAUGAGGACAAUGCAAAUCGAUCGUAUUCCAGCCACUCAGAUACAAUGACUGUUGGUGUUUAUUCCACUGCGUGACAUUUCAUCUGGACAUGGGGCCCCACUGUUGGUGUCCAUCACUGUGCACCAUCCUUGUGACCGGAUGCUCCACGUUCCCUGCGUGCACACACUACAAAGCCCAGCCCGCUUUGUAGACAUUUGGUUAUUUCCAGAUUCUCACUAUUGUGAAUAACACAGCAAUGAAUACUGUGGUGACCUUAUGUCGUUCAUCUGCCUAAUGUCUAUUUGGGGACCCUCCCCCAACUCUUGGCUUGGUUGGGGCUGGUCCCACUCCCAGCUCCAGGUGUGGGUGAGUCAGGCUGGGCUAGUCAGAGCCUCUCACCCUCCUAGUCACAGAAAUGGGGUUGGGGAUGGUUGCGUGGCCUGAGCCAAACCCAUCAGAGCCCUCCCAGGGCUUCUGCCGAAAUGCAGGGAAGGAGACACCCUCUGUUACUGGAGCUUGCUGGCCCCCGAGGGGACCUCUGGCCCACCAUGGGGGAGAGCCAAGCUGGAAAGUAUCAGGGCUGUAAGAGACUUGAGUGGAUAGGACUUGAGUGGACAGGACCUGAGUGGACAGGACCUGAGUGGACAGGACUUGAGUGGGCAGCUCUCCAGGGGAGACGUGGAGAUGGCCAGUUGGCACAUGUAAAGAUGCUCAGCACCUGUAAUCACCAGGGGAGUGCAGGGAAAAGUUACACCCAUUAGGAUGGCUACUAUUAAAAAAAAAAACAAAACAGAAAAUGACAAGUGUGAGGAUGUGGAGAGACUGAAACCCUUGCGCUCUGCUG